UCUUUUUUUAAAAAAAUCAUUUUUAAUUUUUAUUAAAUUCAAAUUUUAAUGUGAAUAAUCUAAAAAUAAUCUUUAAAAUUAAAAGCAAUAAAAAUAAAACGAAAAGUCAUGAAUAAGCAAUUUUACGAAAAAAAAAAUAAAAAUAUUUCAUGUGUGUUUCAUUUAUGAAUUUAAAUAAAUUAAGAAAAAAAUAAAUAUAUAUGUAUAUAUGUGUGUAUAUACACAUGCAUGUAGCCGCAUAAAAUUCUAUAUAUGUAAUCUUAUAAUCCAAAAAUAGAAUUAAACUCGAGAAAAUAAGCGAAGGAAAAAAAAUUAAUUAUACAAAAUAUCCAAGUAGUUUUUUUUUAAAGUAAGUGAGUGAGUGCAUAAAUUUAAGGAAAUAAAAAAAGAAGAAAAAUACCCACGAUAAUUGAAUAACUAUUUUAAUAUCAAAAACAGUGUUUACGUCAGUUCUUAUUCAUUUGAAAUCAAACAAAAAAAUAAAUAAAACAUAAAUAAUACGAUAUCUACGAUAUUAUUUUAAACGGAAAAUUUGUUUUAAGAAAAAACAUAAGAAACGAAUUUUUAGUGAGAUUCUCUGUAAUAUUUUGUUGGAAUUCCUAUUACUUACAAAUUUUUUUUUUGGUUUUCAACUUGUUCAGCUAACAACUAAGUCUAGCAAAGAGCUUAAACAUUUUAAAGUAAAAAAAAAAAAAUAAUAAUAAUAAUAAUAAUAAUAAUAAGUAACUAAAUAACAAAGAAAUACAAAAUUAAGUAUAGCUAAGCUACUAUACACAAUUGUUGAUCUGCUGUUCUGCUGUUCUGCUUUGCUCAUUUUAUUCUUCACUCAACCUCAACCUCCAAGAUUGCAAAAUGGCGGAUUCCUAUUACCAGGUAUGUGGAAACUUCUUUUUUAAUUUCUCUAUAACUAAAUUGGACAGUAAGUAUAAGAGUGUUAUUUUAAUAUUGUAAUAUAAAAAAUAUUUUUAUACUAGGUAUGUAUGGUUGAAAU